rnacentral:lncRNA from 1 species
CCCUCCUUCAGAGUUUAUUUUCCAGAGGCAACUCUUCACCUACACUCAUAUGCAUGUACUAUUAUGACAUGUGCAUGCAACAUGGACUGCAUGUAUGAGUCAUAUAAGUCAUUAAAGAGCUAAUACAGAUUUAGGGACAAUGGACAAAUAUGCCCAGAUUCACCCUGGUUGAUUUAAUUGGGAUAGCAAAUAUUUAACGGAGAGGAGAGUAUAAGGGAAUUGGUCCUUGAAAGUCCAGGAAUAAAACGGAAAAAGAGCCAAUAAUGAGGGCUCACCCUUGAAGCCACAACCAUAUAUGAGAGCCAGCUCCAUCCGGUUCCUUUAUCUCCAAGACUCACAAUUCCAGAAAGUGCUGAGCGUGGACCUACCUUGAGUGAGACUAUUCUCUUUCUCCUGGCAAGAAGACCUAACCUACAAAUGAGGGUCUACUCUGAAGCACUUUGUACUCUCUGCAGCUAAGCAGCCAGAUGGAGCAAUGAGAAGUGGAAGCAAUGGAGACUGGGGAGCCAUGGAAGCAAGAACAGGAAGGGAUGCAUGAAACUCUCAUCUAUGAAUUACAGCACCACUGAAGAUCAGCAGGCAUCCUCACAAAAAUUAUAUCUUUUCAUCUAAAUUUGAUGAAACCACUGCUGUCAUUUAGCUGGAGGAGGAUGUGCACUAUAGAAAGAAGGGGAAUCAGAUAGUGUCAUGCUUUGC